UCCGGGUGACUCAUUGUGAGGCUAGCUUUUCCAUGGUGAAAAACAAAACAGGCUUUUCAUCAGAUGAACUUUCGGGAAUUUCGUUUAUACAAGAACCAUGGCUUCAAACAUUAUCUGUGCGCUUUGUGGACUUGUCAUUGCGACUGUAGCGAACCUAAACGGCGUGAACGGGCAACAAAACCUAUGCAGUAGUUCAGAGUUCUGGAGUUCGGACAUAGACCAAUGCGUAUCCUGCUCAUCAUGCAAGCAGUAUCCAAAGACCCCUUCCUGUAACACUUGCACAUUCACCAAGGAAAGAUCUGAUGUCUGGAGACUGGCAGCCAUUUCCAGCUUCUCUGUGCUGGCAGUUAUUCUGGUCGCUGCAGUAUUGAUCAUUGGAGUCAUGGUGCAUCGACGCAAGGCACAGAAGAGGCCCCUUCGUGAACCCAUUGAAGAGACAACGGGACCUCUUUACCAAGCGUAAACAUUUCACCUCAUCUUCCUUCUGACAUUGAUGUGACAGAACCAAGGGAACAUCUUUGGAUGACCAACCGAAACAGAAUCAUUUUUAUACAAUACCCUGACCACAGGGUAUUAUUUGAGUGGAGUUUGACCAUUUAAUUUAUUAUACUGUUAGUAAAGAUGUGUUCACAUACACUCAGUGUGUUACGGAACGGAGCUCUCACAUAGAACUGUGUUAACUAGCGCUGUCAAUCCCCUAUCUUGUCUGCAGUCAGACUGUACUCUGAGGAAGACAAUGUAGUUAGUAAAGAGUAUCUCUCACAGCUCUUUUUGAAAUGAUGGCCUUUGAGUAGUGAUGCCAGGUUGAGCUUUUGUAGAUGUUCCAAUAAUCUAUCGAUAAGUAAGUUGUUCAAUCAAUAAGUAGUUUAAAAAACAGUACUGAACAUGAGACACAUCUUGAAUGAUGUGGAUUUCUAACCAUUACUGUCAAUGCUUGAACACCUAUUGUUUUAUUGUAGCUUAUUAGGACGAAUACCAACUACCGAACUGCCUCGACUUGCCAUCAGCAGGAUAAAAGUGAAUACAGCACAAUCGUGCUUCCUGGGCCAGGUUUCACAUACUGUACUUCUAUAAGAGUAAAAGGUUUCUAUUUAACAUCCUCAUGGUAAUGAAAAGUAAAAGGGAAAUGUUAGAUUAUAAAUUCAUGUUGGGCACAUUUUGGCAAUUUGAAUGUACUUUUAGGGCAAUUUAUCCAGUCUGUGUUUCCAUGUAGGAACUAUAUGCACUUAGAGCUACUUAGAGCUUGUUGUUUUUAACUCAUCAUUUUUAAAGGAGUAGAAUUAUUUUAACAGUAUUGUGCACUGUACUCUCUAGGAUCUUCCAAUCAAAAGAGGCAAAGGGAAAAAUAAGUGAACUGAUUAUGAAACUGCUCAAGCGUAUUGGACAUUCUUACACAGGUCAUUUAACCAUUAUACUGUAAUAUGUGUGUAUGCAGGAUAAGUAGCAUAACACAGGGGCUUGCAAACUGUCGUGAUGGAAAAGUUCAAGGUGGUCCAGAAUUCCGUGGGAAUGUGUUUGUAUAGUUCAGGGAUGGGCAACUUUGAUGGGGGUGGGUGCCACAAAAUAUCUGAAAACAUCAUGAGGGGCCGCAGUUGUGCCACCGCCCAAUUCUACACAUUUUGCAAUAUGGUGGAGAGACUUGUUUGCAGUUUUAAUUAUGAUAUCUUACUGAGACUGACUAACAAAAUCAAUGGGGGCCCCCCGGGUGGUAAUUUGACCACGAUUACUACAAGUUUAGAUAGCUGGGCGCUAGACUAAUUUACCAAUCUAUA